GAUGAACGCUGGCGGCGUGCCUAAUACAUGCAAGUAGAAUGCUGAAGCUUGGUGCUUGCACCGAGCGGAUGAGUUGCGAACGGGUGAGUAACGCGUAGGUAACCUGCCUGGUAGCGGGGGAUAACUAUUGGAAACGAUAGCUAAUACCGCAUAACAGUAGAUAUUGCAUGAUAUCUGCUUGAAAGGUGCAAAUGCAUCACUACCAGAUGGACCUGCGUUGUAUUAGCUAGUUGGUGAGGUAACGGCUCACCAAGGCGACGAUACAUAGCCGACCUGAGAGGGUGAUCGGCCACACUGGGACUGAGACACGGCCCAGACUCCUACGGGAGGCAGCAGUAGGGAAUCUUCGGCAAUGGGGGGAACCCUGACCGAGCAACGCCGCGUGAGUGAAGAAGGUUUUCGGAUCGUAAAGCUCUGUUGUAAGAGAAGAACGAGUGUGAGAGUGGAAAGUUCACACUGUGACGGUAUCUUACCAGAAAGGGACGGCUAACUACGUG
rnacentral:rRNA from 1 species